rnacentral:misc_RNA from 1 species
GUGUUGUUAAUGAGUUUAGUGUUAGACCAGGUUGUUGGGGUUAGUUAUUUGCGUGAGGGAGGGUGGCGGCGGCGGGUCUCCCCGUACCGCCAACCUCCACGCAGUGUUCGCGUUACAGUUCACACAAGAUUGGUGGGGGGUCGCCCUUACGGGCUCCUCCCCGAAUCUCUUUGAUGAUCCUUCCGCAGGUUCACCUACGGAAA